UUCUCGGAAGGAUCAAUAUUGAUUUAUUCAGUAAUCCAUAGAGAAUAAAAAUUGAACUUUAGUUCUUCAGGAACUAUAUAGUAACAAUAAAAUCCUUUAUGUUUAAGCAAUCCUUUGUGGAUGUAUACUAUUGAAUUAAUUCUCCAGGAUAAAAUUUGAGUUUCUAUUUACAACCAAUCAUUUAUCAUGCAAUCAUUCAAAGUCACAAUUGAAUUCUUCAAAAAUUCAUGGAGAAUAAAAAUAGAGGAUUUAAGCAAUCCUUCAGGGAUGUACUAAAGUUGAAUUCUUCAUGAAUUCAUUAGUAAAAUUUAUUUGUGCAAUCAUUCAAAGUACUGUUGAAUUCUUCAAGAAUUCAUCUAAAUAUAUAGGUUUCUUAAAGCGAUCUUUUAGGGAUG
rnacentral:lncRNA from 1 species